rnacentral:rRNA from 1 species
UUAUCUUAGAGUUUGAUUCUAGCUCAAAAUAAACGCUAUUUACCUGCUUAACACAUGCAAGUUAUAUUUUUUUUAUUUAAAAAAAUAAGCGAACGGGUGAGUAAUAAAAAAGAAUGAUGCCUUAUAGUUUAACUAAGUAAUUUGCUUAAAUAUAAUGUUAUAUAAAAGAUUUAUUGCUAUAAGAUUCACUUUUUUAAGAUUAGGUUUUUGAUAAAAUCAAGCCGAUGAUCUUUAAUUGGUCUGUAAGGAUGUUCAAUCACACUGGAACUGAGACAAGGUCCAGACUUUUAAGAAGGCUGCAGUGAGGAAUUUUAAACAAUGAGCGAAAGCUUGAUUUAGCAAGGUAAAGUGAAUGAUUGAAAACAAAAAGUUGUAAAGUUCUUUUGUAAAUAUAAAUUAUGAUUUUAUUUAAGAAAAAGUCCCGGCCAACUUUGUGCCAGCAGCCGCGGUUAAACGAAGGGGGCAAGCGUUAUUUGGUUUGAUUUCGUGUAAAAAGUGUGUAGACUGUUUUUGAAAACUUAAAACGAAAAAUUAACAUUUUAUGAUAUGAAGUUUAAGUUUAAAAAAACUUGAGUUAAAAAGAAGAUUAUAGAAUUUUAAAUGGAAGAAUAAAAUCUAUUGAUAUUUGAAGGAAUUUCGAAAGCGAAAGCAAUAGUCUAUUAAAAACUGACGUUUGUGCACGUAAUUUUAGGUAGCAACUAGGAUUAGAAACCCUAUUAGUCUAAAACGUAAACAAUGAAUAUUUAUCUUUAAAUUUUUAGAGAUUUAGCUAACGCGUUAAAUAUUCUACGAGAGGAGUACAUUAGCAAUAAUAAAACUCAAAGAAAUUGCCGGGAGUUUAUAUAAUUGGUGGAACAUAUAGCUUAAUUCGUCGGUACGCGCAAAACCUUACCAUUUUUUGAAUUCUUAGACAAGUGUUGCAUGGCUGUCGUCAGCUCGUGUUUUGAAAUGUUUGGUUAAGUCCCUUAACGAGCGAAACCCUUGUUUUUUAUUUUAAAUAAAACGAGAUUAAAACAAAUAGUUUUAUAUUUUUUUAUUUUUCUAAAAAAAUAUUGCCUGUAAAAAACAGGAUUAAAGUAAGGAUGACGUCAAGUGUCAUGACCUUUAUAAAAUGGGCUGCAUUAUGUGUUACAAUAACAAAAACAAUGAGUUAUUUGAAUGAAAAUUGAAAUUAAUCUUAAAAAUUUGUUCUAGUUCAGAUUAUUUUCUGCAACUCGAAAAUAUGAAGUUGAAAUCAAAAGUAAUCGUUUAUCAGCACGGAACGGUGAAAUUAUCUCUGGACUUUGCACAAAUCGCCCGUCACAGCAUGAAAGUUUUUUAAUUUGAAAUAAGAAAGUAAAUUUUAUUUCUUGUAAGAUAUCUUUUUUUAAAAACAAUACUUAUUUAGUUUAAAACAAACUUUUUUAUGAGAACAGAAAAAAUUAUUGUGCUGAAGUCGUAACAAGGUAACUGUAGGGGAACCUGUAGUUGGAAAAUUUUCUUU